ACUGACGCUAAUACCGCAUACGUCCACAGCGAUCAAGGUCGCAGUGGAGAAAGAUUUAUCGCUCCAGGAUGAGCCUGCGGUCCAUUAGCUUUAAUCGUGGGGUAAUGGCCUACGAUAGCUUCGAUGGAUAGCCGGCCUGAGAGGGUGAUCGGCCACACUGGAACUGACACACGGUCCAGACUCCUACGGGAGGCAGCAGUGGGGAAUAUUGGACAAUGGGGGCAACCCUGAUCCAGCCAUGCCGCGUGCGUGAAGAAGGCCUUAGGGUUGUAAAGCGCUUUCACUGGUGAAGAUGAUGACGGUAGCCAGAGAAGAAGCCCCGGCUAACUCCGUGCCAGCAGCCGCGGUAAUAC
rnacentral:rRNA from 14 species